AGCAUAACGUUGAACAAGAGGAGUAACUAGUUAUUGACUUUUAGAGAGAGAACGAGAAGGUGGGAUGUUCUUAGGGAUGACUAGUGAAGGUAGCUUGGGAGUUUUUAUCUUGAAACUUUAAGCAACAUGGAAAGUAGAGAUAAACGAGUUGUGACCGUUAAUUCACACAAAGAGGUAGUAGGAAACUACUACAAAUUAGGUGGUACCGCGUAAAUUAAUACGUCCUAAAA
rnacentral:ncRNA from 1 species